UCGUCAGUGUCAUGUUGGCCGAAGUGACUCACUAUCAUGAAUGACUUAGUCAUACAGGUAAAAGAAGGUCAUACACUACACUCAAGCAGAACCAAUAAUUAUAUUUACUCCUGCAUCUUCGUUCCCUACUCCUGAAUCAAAGUGAGGUAUAAUCCUGCACGAAGAACCUGGACCAAUGCCAAACUCCAAGAACUCCUAAAGACGUCCGUAUUCUGGACUAACGUGAUGAAAAGGUUCUCCAGAGUUGCAGUUGGUUGCUUUGGUUAAACACUUCAUUUAACGAAUAUUUUAGAGAAAAUAUAUAUUGCCUUUCCCUUUUUAUACAACUGACUUCGUAAGAUUCAUAUGUUCUCUUUAAAUUGUAUGUUUUCGUACAACAUGUUAUGUUAUUUGGCAAACAGACAGUUGCAAACUUCCCUUCUGAAUUUAUGGCUGUGGUUUAACGAACCAUUAACGAAUAUCUUUGAGAAAAUAUAUAUUGCAUUUUCCCUUUUUAUACAACUGACUUCGUAAGAUUCAUAUGUUCUGUUUAAACUGUAUGUUUUCGUACAACAUGUUAUGUUAUUUGGCAAACAGACAGUUGCAAACUUCCCUUCUGAAUUUAUGGCUGUGGUUUAACGAACCAUUAACGAAUAUCUUUGAGAAAAUAUAUAUUGCAUUUUCCCUUUUUAUACAACUGACUUCGUAAGAUUCAUAUGUUCUGUUUAAACUGUAUGUUUUCGUAUGUACAAUAUGUUAUGUUAAUGGGCAAAAAGACAAACUUUCACCCGAUCAUUUAAAUUAUCUGUUAUCAAUUAUUUUUCUGAAAAAAGUUUCUACAGCGUGUCGCCUAAAAAUGUAAUAGAAAAACCUGUGAGGUGCCGAGGGCAGCAGUACCAUGGCACUAGUAAAUAUUAAUGAUAUACUUAUCUAGUAUAUACAUACAUAUUCAUAUCCUGCAUCAUGUCUUACACAUGAAGCAUCACGGGUGUCAAUGCAUUCACUUGGGGCAGAAAUAUGGUUAUCAUUAAUAUGCAUAGAUCAGUUGCAAGUACGCCCUGUGACAUUUUUAUAGUGUAUGCUUCCAUUAUGUCACAGUGACCAGCCUAUUCAAUAAAAAAAAUAUUUCCUCGAUCGA